rnacentral:rRNA from 1 species
GACGAACGCUGGCGGCGUGCCUAAUACAUGCAAGUCGAACGAGAGCGACCGGUGCUUGCACUGGUCAAUCUAGUGGCGAACGGGUGAGUAACACGUGGGUAACCUGCCCAUCAGAGGGGGAUAACAUCCGGAAACGGAUGCUAAAACCGCAUAGGUCUUCGAACCGCAUGGUUUGAAGAGGAAAAGAGGCGCAAGCUUCUACUGAUGGAUGGACCCGCGGUGCAUUAGCUAGUUGGUGAGGUAACGGCUCACCAAGGCCGUGAUGCAUAGCCGACCUGAGAGGGUGAUCGGCCACAUUGGGACUGAGACACGGCCCAAACUCCUACGGGAGGCAGCAGUAGGGAAUCUUCCGCAAUGGACGCAAGUCUGACGGAGCAACGCCGCGUGAGUGAAGAAGGUUUUCGGAUCGUAAAACUCUGUUGUUAGAGAAGAACAAGUGCUAGAGUAACUGUUAGCGCCUUGACGGUAUCUAACCAGAAAGCCACGGCUAACUACGUG